UACGAAGGGUGCAAGCGUUACUCGGAAUUACUGGGCGUAAAGCGUGCGCAGGCGGUUUUGUAAGUCAGAUGUGAAAUCCCCGGGCUCAACCUGGGAACUGCGUUUGAAACUACAAGGCUAGAGUGUAGCAGAGGGGGGUGGAAUUCCACGUGUAGCAGUGAAAUGCGUAGAGAUGUGGAGGAACACCGAUGGCGAAGGCAGCCCCCUGGGUUAACACUGACGCUCAGGCACGAAAGCGUGGGGAGCAAACAGG
rnacentral:rRNA from 1 species